UACGUAGGGUGCAAGCGUUGUCCGGAAUUAUUGGGCGUAAAGAGCUUGUAGGCGGUUUGUCGCGUCUGCUGUGAAAUUUCGGGGCUCAACCCCGAACUUGCAGUGGGUACGGGCAGACUAGAGUGUGGUAGGGGGAGACUGGAAUUCCUGGUGUAGCGGUGAAAUGCGCAGAUAUCAGGAGGAACACCGAUGGCGAAGGCAGGUCUCUGGGCCAUAACUGACGCUGAGGCACGAAAGCGUGGGGAGCAAACAGG
rnacentral:rRNA from 1 species